rnacentral:rRNA from 1 species
UCCUACGGGAGGCAGCAGUGGGGGAUAUUGCACAAUGGGGGGAACCCUGAUGCAGCGACGCCGCGUGGGUGAAGGAGCGUUUCGGCGCGUAAAGCCCUAUCGGCAGGGAAGAAAAUGACGGUACCUGACUAAGAAGCCCCGGCUAACUACGUGCCAGCAGCCGCGGUAAUACGUAGGGGGCAAGCGUUAUCCGGAUUUACUGGGUGUAAAGGGAGCGCAGACGGCUGUGCAAGUCUGGAGUGAAAGGCGGGGGCCCAACCCCCGGACUGCUCUGGAAACUGGAAA